rnacentral:rRNA from 1 species
UACGGGGGGUGCGAGCGUUGUCCGGAAUCACUGGGCGUAAAGGGCGCGUAGGUGGCGUGAUAAGGGUGUGGUGAAAGCCCGGGGCUCAACCCCGGGUCUGCCAUGCCGACUGUCAGGCUAGAGUACUGUAGGGGCAGGCGGAAUUCCGGGUGUAGCGGUGGAAUGCGUAGAGAUCCGGAGGAAGACCGGUGGCGAAGGCGGCCUGCUGGGCAGUUACUGACACUGAGGCGCGACAGCGUGGGGAGCGAACAGG